GAUGAACGCUGGCGGCGUGCUUAACACAUGCAAGUCGAACGGAAAGGCCCAAGCUUGCUUGGGUACUCGAGUGGCGAACGGGUGAGUAACACGUGGGUGAUCUGCCCUGCACUUCGGGAUAAGCCUGGGAAACUGGGUCUAAUACCGGAUAGGACCACUUCUUGGAUGUUGUGGUGGAAAGUUUUUUCGGUGUGGGAUGAGCUCGCGGCCUAUCAGCUGGUUGGUGGGGUAAUGGCCUACCAAGGCGUCGACGGGUAGCCGGCCUGAGAGGGUGUACGGCCACAUUGGGACUGAGAUACGGCCCAGACUCCUACGGGAGGCAGCAGUGGGGAAUAUUGCACAAUGGGCGCAAGCCUGAUGCAGCGACGCCGCGUGGGGGAUGACGGCCUUCGGGUUGUAAACUCCUUUCGCUAGGGACGAAGCGUUUUGUGACGGUACCUGGAGAAGAAGCACCGGCUAACUACGUG
rnacentral:rRNA from 1 species